GUCAAGGCCAGGGAACUUUGAAAGCGAGUGGCUGCUGGAGGGACCGGGGGCCGCAGCAGCAGUGCAGCGGCGCAAAAGCCGAAUUCCGGCACGUCGGCCCAGGCGUGCCCAUCCAGCAGCGCGAAGAGGGGAGGGGAGAGACCCCGGCUGCAGACCCCGGCUGCAGCCCCCGGCACCCCGUUCUUUCAGAUUCCCCCACCAGCCCCUUUCUUCGCUUCUGUCCCGUGCGGGGCGCGCUCUGCUGGUCUCUCCGGGGUGUCCUUUUCAGGGAUCGUCUUUGUCUGGGUCUCCCGCGGUCCCGGC
rnacentral:lncRNA from 1 species